AGUCUUCAGGGCGGGGUGCAAUUCCCCACCGGCGGUGAUACGGCGAUUCUGCCGUUUUAAGUCCGCGAACCUUUUUUAAAAAGGCCGAACCGGUGUGAUUCCGGUACCGACGGUACAGUCCGGAUGAAAGAAGAG
rnacentral:ncRNA from 1 species